CAAUAGCGUAUAUUUAAGUUGUUGCAGUUAAAAAGCUCGUAGUUGGAUUUCGGAUGGGAUUUGCCGGUCCGUCGUUACGAUGUGCACUGGCCAGUCCUAUCUUGUUGUCGGGGACUAGCUCCUUGGAUUCACUUCCUGGGACUAGGAGCUGACGAGGUUACUUUGAGUAAAUUAGAGUGUUCAAAGCAAGCCUACGCUCUGAAUACAUUAGCAUGGAAUAACACGAUAGGACUCUGGCUUAUCUUGUUGGUCUGUGAGACCAGAGUAAUGAUUAAGAGGGACAGUCGGGGACAUUCGUAUUCCGUUGUCAGAGGUGAAAUUCUUGGAUUUACGGAAGACGAACAUCUGCGAAAGCAUUUGCCAAGGAUGUUUUCAUUGA
rnacentral:rRNA from 1 species